CAUUUCCUCAGAUUACCACCUUAUUGGCCGCCUUUCUCAGCUUUUCUGUAGUUACCCAUAUUUUGUUCCUCUUUCUUGUCUAUUUUCUGUGCUUUUUCUCUGCCUUCCGUCUCGCUAUUUUCUCACAUCUCCAUUUUCUUUCUCCUUCCUGCCACCAUUCUUCAUGUUCUUCCCACAGGACUUGAAGUGCCAUGUCCUCUGAAGAAGGAAAGCUCUUCGUGGGAGGGCUCAACUUUAACACCGACGAGCAGGCACUGGAAGACCACUUCAGCAGUUUCGGACCUAUCUCUGAGGUGGUCGUUGUCAAGGACCGGGAGACUCAGCGGUCCAGGGGUUUUGGUUUCAUCACCUUCACCAACCCAGAGCAUGCUUCAGUUGCCAUGAGAGCCAUGAAUGGAGAGGUGGGGCCUCCUAUCUGCAGAGGGACCUUGUCCCUGUCUGCGGCUUCCUUCAUUCUUUUUGUUUUUCCCUCUGUGUCUGCUCGGGGCAGCGUGGCCACCAAGCCCCGCAGUGCCCACUCACAGGAGCAUGACUGCCUUUUGUUCUAGGGGGUGGAGGGCAGCGGCAGACAGAGCCUGGCCGCCUGGGAGGCGACGACUGGUCCUGCAUGAGGCCGAGAAGCCACCUGUGGAUGGUUGACCUGCCUUGGGCUUAGGUAGUAGAGUCUGCAGACCUGUGGGCCUGGCCCGGAGAGGACCUCGUGAGUCUUCUGACAUGGACUCUGAAGCC
rnacentral:sRNA from 1 species